AUGGAUCCCAAUAAGUUCUUGUUACUGGUACUUCAGAGGUAUGAACUUGCCGAGGCUUUUAACAAGACCAUAUCUACAAAAGACCAGAUUUGAUUAAACAAUAUAAUACACUAAUAGAAGAAAUGCUUCAGGUCCUCAUCUAUAUUGUGGUGAGCGUUAUGUACCUGGAGUGGGAAAUGUGACCAAAGAAGAGGUCACAAUGAGAGAAAUCAUUCACUUGCUUUGCAUUGAACCCAUGCCACACAGUGCCAUUGCCAAAAAUUUACCUGAGAAGAAAAUAAUGAAACUGGCUUAGAGAAUGUCAUAAACAAAGUGGCCACAUUUAGAAACCAGGUGUAUCAGGCCAUGGAGUUUAUGAACUAAAAGAUGAAUCACUGAAAGACUUCAAUAUGUACUUUUAUCAUUACUCCAAAACCCAGCAUAGCAAGCUGAACAUAUGCAGAAGAAAAGGAGAAAACAAGAAAACAAAGAUGAACAUUGCCGCCACCACCACCUCCUGAAUUCUGCCCUGCUUUCAGCAAAGUGAUUAACCUUCUCAACUGUGAUAUCAUGAUGUACAUUCUCAGGACCGUAUUUGAGCGGGCAAUAGACACAGAUUCUAACUUGUGGACCGAAGGGAUGCUCCAAAUGCUUUUCAUAUUCUGGCAUUGGGUUUACUAGAAGAGAAGCAACAGCUUCAAAAAGCUCCUGAAGAAGAAGUAACAUUUGACUUUUAUCAUAAGGCUUCAGAUUGGGAAGUUCAGCCAUGAAUAUACAAAUGCUUUUGGAAAAACUCAAAGGAAUUCCCCAGUUAGAAGGCCAGAAGGACAUGAUAACGUGGAUACUUCAAUGUUUGACACAGUGAAGCGAUUAAGAGAAAAAUCUUGUUUAAUUGUAGCAACCACAUCAGGAUCGGAAUCUAUUAAGAAUGAUGAAUUACUCAUGAUAAAGAAAAAGCAGAACGAAAAAGAAAAGCUGAAGCUGCUAGGCUACAUCGCCAGAAGAUCAU
rnacentral:lncRNA from 1 species